CCCUUAGAGUUUGAUCCUGGCUCAGAACGAACGCUGGCGGCGUGGAUAAGACAUGCAAGUCGAACGGGAACUUUUCUGGUAGCAAUACCGGAGAAGUUUUAGUGGCGAACGGGUGCGUAACACGUGGGCAAUCUGCCGAGAAGUGGGGGAUAGCUCGCCGAAAGGCGAAUUAAUACCGCAUAUGAUCAGGGACGACAUCUUCCCAACAUCAAAGCCGGGGCAACCUGGCGCUUCUUGAUGAGCCCGCGGCCUAUCAGCUAGUUGGUGAGGUAACGGCCCACCAAGGCGAUGACGGGUAGCUGGUCUGAGAGGACGACCAGUCACACUGGAACUGAGACACGGUCCAGACACCUACGGGUGGCAGCAGUCGAGAAUUUUUCUCAAUGGGGGAAACCCUGAAGGAGCGACGCCGCGUGGAGGAUGAAGGCUUUCGGGUUGUAAACUCCUGUCAUUUGGGAACAAUGCUUUUCGGUUAACUGCCGAGAAGUUGAUAGUACCAGAAGAGGAAGAGACGGCUAACUCUGUGCCAGCAGCCGCGGUAAUACAGAGGUCUCAAGCGUUGUUCGGAUUCAUUGGGCGUAAAGGGUGCGUAGGUGGCGUGGUAAGUCGGGUGUGAAAUUUCGGAGCUUAACUCCGAAACUGCAUUCGAUACUGCUGUGCUUGAGGACUGGAGAGGAGACUGGAAUUUACGGUGUAGCAGUGAAAUGCGUAGAGAUCGUAAAGAAGACCAGUGGCGGAGCGGGUCUCUGGACAGUUCCUGACACUGAGCACGAAGCCAGGGAGCAAACGGGAUAGAUACC
rnacentral:rRNA from 1 species